GUGGGGAAUCUUAGACAAUGGGCGCAAGCCUGAUCUAGCCAUGCCGCGUGAGUGAUGAAGGCCUUAGGGUCGUAAAGCUCUUUCGCUGGGGAAGAUAAUGACGGUACCCAGUAAAGAAACCCCGGCUAACUCCGUGCCAGCAGCCGCGGUAAUACGGAGGGGGUUAGCGUUGUUCGGAAUUACUGGGCGUAAAGCGCGCGUAGGCGGAUUGGGAAGUUGGGGGUGAAAUCCCGGGGCUCAACCCUGGAAUGGCCUUCAAAACUCCCAGUCUUGAGGUCGAGAGAGGUGAGUGGAAUUCCGAGUGUAGAGGUGAAAUUCGUAGAUAUUCGGAGGAACACCAGUGGCGAAGGCGGCUCACUGGCUCGAUACUGACGCUGAGGUGCGAAAGCGUGGGGAGCAAACAGGAUUAGAAACCCGUGUAGUCC
rnacentral:rRNA from 1 species